rnacentral:rRNA from 1 species
GAUGAACGCUGGCGGCGUGCCUAAUACAUGCAAGUCGAGCGAACAGACGAGGAGCUUGCUCCUCUGACGUUAGCGGCGGACGGGUGAGUAACACGUGGAUAACCUACCUAUAAGACUGGGAUAACUUCGGGAAACCGGAGCUAAUACCGGAUAACAUGUUGAACCGCAUGGUUCAACAGUGAAAGACGGUCUUGCUGUCACUUAUAGAUGGAUCCGCGCCGCAUUAGCUAGUUGGUAAGGUAACGGCUUACCAAGCCAACGAUGCGUAGCCGACCUGAGAGGGUGAUCGGCCACACUGGAACUGAGACACGGUCCAGACUCCUACGGGAGGCAGCAGUAGGAAAUCUUCCGCAAUGGGCGAAAGCCUGACGGAGCAACGCCGCGUGAGUGAAGAAGGUCUUCGGAUCGUAAAACUCUGUUAUUAGGGAAGAACAAAUGUGUAAGUAACUAUGCACGUCUUGACGGUACCUAAUCAGAAAGCCACGGCUAACUACGUG